UACUUGGUUACUUGCUCAAAAUACAUGAUUUUGAUGAAUUACCCCAACAAUACAUCUUGAAGAGGUGGACUAAGAAGGCAAACUCCGUGAUAGUGGUCGAUAAUGAAAGUGGCAUAAUGAUAAAUAGUGACAAAGAAUAUCUAAUCAAGUGGAGUGAAUUAAUUCAAUGUUCUUUGGAUGUUAUUAACAACGCCCUCACAAGCCAAGAAGGAAUUAAUAUUUAUAAAGAUGCUUUGGCUCGUGCACUCGAAUCAAUCUAUCUUGUUGCAGAUAGUGGUAAAAGUUCACAAUGUGGAACUGGUGCAAGUGUAGUCUCUGGGAAGAUGAGUUGCAAUAAAGACCAUAUGUACAAUGAACCAAAUCAAGUGAGGGCAAAAGGAUGUGGCAAAAGACUUAAAGGAGGGAAAGAAAGGGCAUUGAGAAAGGCAAAGAACUCAAAAGGUAGACGUUGUCAUGGUUGUGGAAAAGUUGGACAAACACAUGACAAAAGGAAUUGUCCAAUAGUUGCACAUCAGUAAGUAAUAUUUAAGUAAUAGUAAAAGUUUUUAGAUAUCUCAAUCUUUAAAUGAUGAGUGUUAUUUUGGCUUUUAUGUAGAGAUUCUCCCAACAAUGAAGGUGGAACAUCAUCUUCAAGUUCAGAGGAUGAUAGUCAUACAGUCCCAGGUUUGAUCAUUUCUUUUAUUCAAUAUUAUGAGUUACAUCUCAAAAAAUCUAAUAUACAUAUAUUUUAUUUUAUUUACAGGUUCAGAGAUGCAAGAUGAUGUUGGUUAUGUAAAUUAUCCCCAAAAUCAAGAGCCGCC
rnacentral:lncRNA from 1 species